UACGGAGGGUGCAAACGUUGCUCGGAAUCAUUGGGCGUAAAGCGCACGUAGGCGGCCCGCUAAGUCGGAUGUGAAAGCCCCAGGGCUCAACCCUGGAAGUGCAUUCGAAACUGACGGGCUUGAAUAUGGAAGAGGGUCGCGGAAUUCCCGGUGUAGAGGUGAAAAUUCGUAGAUAUCGGGAGGAACACCAGUGGCGAAGGCGGCGCCUGGGCCAAUAUUUGACGUGAGGGUGCGAAAGCGUGGGGGAGCAAACAGG
rnacentral:rRNA from 1 species